rnacentral:rRNA from 1 species
UACGGAGGGGGCUAGCGUUGUUCGGAAUUACUGGGCGUAAAGCGCACGUAGGCGGCUUUGUAAGUUAGAGGUGAAAGCCCGGGGCUCAACCCCGGAAUUGCCUUUAAGACUGCAUCGCUAGAAUUGUGGAGAGGUAAGUGGAAUUCCGAGUGUAGAGGUGAAAUUCGUAGAUAUUCGCAAGAACACCAGUGGCGAAGGCGGCUCACUGGCCCGAUACUGACGCUGAGGUGCGAAAGCGUGGGGAGCAAACAGG